CAACCCUCGAGCCCCGCUCGGUGUUGGGCGGGCCCUUUCGCGGGGCCCGCCCGAAAGUCCUAGGCGCCGCCGCCCGACCACCCGCGUAGCAGGCUCGCGCACGCGCGGGGAGGACGCCCGGCGGUAGCCCGGCCCUUCCAUCAA
rnacentral:misc_RNA from 1 species